UUUUAAAUGGACACUGAAAUAAAGAUGAGGACAUCAUGUUGAAGUAGAAGUCUUUGUACACCAGUUUCUCAAAUGUGUGCUCUAGGCCAUUAAAGACCAGGCGAGAUACGUGGAAGCAUUUACAGCAUUGUGUCCAAGUUCGGCUGGGAUCUAGUCUCCUCUGUUAGUGCUGCCCUCCUGUGUUCGAGCAGUGGAAUGACAGGCUGGAUUGCGUGCAUCUAUCUACUACACACUUCCAGGGGACUGUACCAUUGAUUGCCAGACAUUAUCGCUCUUGGUCUUGGACUAUAUAUGUGUUUUUUUUGAAAUUCUCACCUGGAUGUCCAAGAAACUGAAGUAUUCUGUGAUACCCUCUUGGAGAUGGGGGCUUUUCAGAUCUGGGGUCCUACA